UGAGGAUGUGGUUCAAUUCGAAGCAACGCGAAGAACCUUACCUGGGUUUGACAUCAUAGGAAAUACUAUGGAAACAUAGUAGGCCUUCGCAAGAAGGAUCCUAUGACAGGUGCUGCAUGGCUGUCGUCAGCUCGUGUCGUGAGAUGUUCGGUUAAGUCCGCUAACGAGCGCAACCCUCGUCGUAUGUUAUAUGUGUCAUACGAGACUGCCGGUAAAAGCCGGAGGAAGGUGAGGAUGAUGUCAAGUCAGCAUGACCUUUAUAUCCAGGGCUACACACACGCUACAAUGGUCUGUACAAUGGGUAGCCAAGCCGCGAGGCGGAGCCAAUCCUGAAAGCAGGCCUCAGUUCAGAUUGCAGUCUGCAACUCGACUGCAUGAAGCCGGAGUUGCUAGUAACCGCAGGUCAGCAAUACUGCGUUGAAUACGUUCCCGGGGCUU
rnacentral:rRNA from 1 species